rnacentral:rRNA from 1 species
UACGUAGGGUGCGAGCGUUGUCCGGAUUUAUUGGGCGUAAAGAGCUCGUAGGCGGUUUGUCGCGUCGGCCGUGAAAUCUCCACGCUUAACGUGGAGCGUGCGGUCGAUACGGGCAGACUUGAGUUCGGUAGGGGAGACUGGAAUUCCUGGUGUAGCGGUGAAAUGCGCAGAUAUCAGGAGGAACACCGGUGGCGAAGGCGGUUCUCUGGGCAUGUCCUGACGCUGAGGAGCGAAAGUGUGGGGAGCGAACAGG